UCCCUGGUAGUCCAGUGGCAAAAACUCUGCACUCUCAAUGCAGGUGGCCCAGGUUGGAUCCUGGUCAGAUAA
rnacentral:tRNA from 1 species